rnacentral:rRNA from 1 species
GACGAACGCUGGCGGCGUGCCUAAUACAUGCAAGUCGAGGGACCGGCGCACGGGUGAAUAACACGUAUCCACCCUGCCCUUUACUCGUGGAUAGCCUUUCGAAAGAAAGAUUAAUACCCGAUAUAAAGGAUGGGGAUGCGUUCCAUUAGGUUGUUGGUGAGGUAACGGCUCACCAAGCCUUCGAUGGAUAGGGGGUCUGAGAGGAAGGUCCCCCACAUUGGAACUUGGCCACGAUCCAAACUCCUACGAGAGGCAGCAGUGAGGAAUAUUGGUAAAUGGGCGCGAGCCUGAAACAGCCAAGUAGCGUGAAGGAUGAAGGCUUAUGGGUCGUAAACUUCUUUUAUAUAAGAAUAUGUAUUAUAUGAAUAAGGAUCGGCUAACUCCGUGCCAGCAGCCGCGGUAAUUC